CUUCCUGGAGGUUCUUGCUGCAGAAGAACCUGUGUUCUUCUGGGUUUUCCCCGUCUAAACACUCAGCCGGGCGAAGGAAGUGGCUCCCUAGGGAGGAGGCGGGUGGCCAGGGAGUAACCUUGGCUGAUGACUCAUGUGCUGGGCGGAAAUUCCCUGUGCCCUGCAAGUGAGCUGUCCCAGGCGAGUCUAGAGAGUGAGUGCCUUUUCAGAAGCCUCUCAUGUGUAAUUCUGGAAGAGUCAUUUCCUUACUAGAAGUAUCUGGGUGAUAAUAACACACAUAUAGCCUUAAAAAGAUCAGUUGUAUUUUAAGAUUAAAAGUAUUAAGCAAGAGCUGGAAAGUCUUAAAAAACUGAGAGCCAGUUUCCCAUUGUUGAGAAUGUUCAUUAAAUGUAAGGCUCUUGUUGCAAAAGGCACAGGAAAUAGCCGGGGCACAGUGGGUUAAGAAUCUGACUGCGACGGCUCGGGUUGCUGUGGAAGUGCAGGCAGAUCCCUGGCCUGAGGCAGUGGGUGAAGGGAUCUGGCCUUACUGCAGCUGCAGCUCAGGUUUGGUUCCUGGUCCUGGAACUUCCAUAGGCCACUGGUGCAGCAUUAAAGAAAUAAACGAGCAGAUAGAAAGAAAUAGCUUGGGAUCGUGAGGCUGCGAGUCAUGUUGCAGACGUGUUAACUCGAUGGAGAGAGGUCCCUAAAAGCGUGCUGAGGUAGCGCCACCAGGUUUGCGUUUUAGGGCCCGGGGACUGUAUUUCCCCACCUCACUGUCAGGUUUGCUGUCCACGGCAGGGUUGACAGCAUCAGGGACAAAAGUGAACUAUUUUUCCUACCAGGUGAAGCUGAGUCACACAGCUCUGUCAUUGCAAAGCUAUUCUCUGCUCCCGCCUUCUUUGUAACUCUGCAGAGGUCCUGGAAGUUCUUGCCAUGGAUUAAGAGGAAGAUGAAAAGAUGAAGUGUUCCAGAAACCCCAGCUCCUUUUCCCGGGGUGACUGCCCUGCGGGGCGCCGUCUGAGGCAGGUGCUGUGGUGCCCAGCCCGGGACUGCUGUCUUUCCUGAGCUCGCAUGCGCCUUCACUGGGGGGACUCUUCCACCUUUGGGCGGGUGGCGUUCUUCCCUUCAAGAGACAAAAGGACACUUGUGAGUCACCAUAGUCUAGUCUGACUUUGGAGCCUAACAGCCCAAGUUUAGAGAAUCACAGAACGGGACUAACUGAAGGGUUGGUGUCGUGUUGUGCAUGUGAUAGAAACCAAGUCAUUGCCGUGCUGCUGCUCUUUUCAGACUUUUGCAGCCCCUUUCCAGUGGAGACUGACUUUUGCAGCCUUUUACCAGUGGAGACUGACUUCUGCAGCCCCUUUCCAGCGGAGACUGUUCUGGCGCAGGAGCGUGUGCCGUGGGCCUGGAGGAGGCCGGUGCCUGGUCUGGGGAAGUGUGGGGGGGUCGUCUGCGGGAAGAGGCCCCAGAUUCUGCAGGCAGAUGAGAUCAGAACACAUGUAGCAAACUGUCUGCAGAUCCACAGAGGCGUCUUGUUCAUCUGCAGCUUGGUUUGAGGAGUCACAAAAAAAGGGCGGGUCAAACACUGUGAUUUUGGACAGAUAUUAUCAGGCAGGUAACAUAAAUCUUCGCUCCACUUGGGCCAGGAGCCGAGCAGCUCACCAGGAUGCUGUGGAUCGUUAGAGGAGGGAUUGGUAAACUCUCCUGGGCUGGGUGCCCCCCCCACCCCCGAGGGCACCCCUCCCUGGAGAGCACCCCCUUCAGCAGGGCACCCCCCCCCUAGGCACCCCAGCUGGUGACCUGCCCAGCAAGUUGUCCAGGCUGCCUCUGGGGUCCCUCAUGGCUCCUUUUCUUUGAAAGACCCCAGGAAAGACUGAUGAUUUUUCCUCAGUGUGGAAAAAUGAUACAGCAAGGAAAAAAACACGACUUCACACUCACACAGACCUUCUAAAACCUAUCAGAUAACACAUCCGGGUAGAGUUGAAGGACUGAACUCUGAGCAGGCAGUUCCGGGAGCAGGGGCCGGACCACGUGCAGGCACAGUGAGGGGCGCGCUGGUUCCCAGCCUCGGGCUCUUCCUUAGCCUGGCGAUGUCUGGGCCAGGGGUGCGCAGGCCAGUGCGCUCUGAGGCAGCAGAAUGCACGACGAAGGCCAGAAGUUUACAAACUCAAGCUAGAAAAUGCUGUUGUAUUCGAAAUGCUUUCAAGACCAAUCAGGGACACAGUGGAAGGGGAGGAAUAGAACCACAGGAAAGUUAUUUCAAAGUAUUACACUCAUUAGAGGAAAUCGCCAGCAUGGAAAAUGUACACUGAAGCAAAGAAACACCGGAACGAGCAAGCAGAUAAUGAUAAAAGUGCCAGAAAGCUUAGUUCCUGGUACUUGAUGUUUGAAACUUAAAGUGAAGACCCUUCAUCACCUCUGUAGUCAAAAAAACAGCCUUUUGGUAGUUUUGGUUUGGCCUUAUGUUUUGAAAUAUCAGAACAGUAAUAGUUUUCCAUAGACAAAAUCCUCAAUCAAUAUCGUCAUUCUGUCUCAUAUAUUCUUUUGAAACAAUGUUUUUUUGAAGUAAAGCUGAUUUACAAUAUUGUAUUAGUUUCAGGUGUACAGAAUAGAAAUUCAGUUUUUUUUCCCCAGAUUAUAUUCAAUUGUAGGUUUUUCUAAGAUAACGGGUAUAAUUCCCUGUGCUAUAUAGCAUAUUCUUGUUGCUUAUCUAUUUUAUGUAGAGAAGUUUGUGUCUGUUAAUCCCGUAACCCUAGUUUGUCCCUCUCCCCCUUCCCUUUCGUAAUAACCAUAAGUUUGUUUUCUCUGUCUGUGAGUCUGUUUCUGUUUUAUACAUGCAUUCAUUUGUAUGAUUUUUUCGCUUCCACAUUUAAGUGAUAUAGUAUGUGUCUUUCUCUGACAUAUUUUGCUACACCUAAAAAUCUCCAAGUCCAUCUAUGUUGCUACAAAUUGUAAUAUUUCAUUCUUUUUUAUGGCUGAGUAAUAUUCCAUUGUGUGUAUGUACCACAUCUCCUUAAGCCAGUCCUCUGUUGAUGGACACUUGAGUUAUGUCCAUGUCUUGGCUAUUGUGAAUAGCGCUGCCAUGGACAUUGGAGCACACGUAUCUUUUCAAAUUAGAGCUUUCAUUUUUUCCUGGAUAUAUACCCAGACAUGGGAUUGCUGGAUCAUAUGGUAGGUCUAUUUUUAGUAUUUAAAGGACCCUCCAUACUGUUUUCCACGGUGGCUGUAUCAAUUUACAGUCCUACCAACAGUGUAGGAGGGUUCCCUUUUCUCCACACCCUCUCCAGCAUUUAUUAUUUAUAGACUUUUUAAUGAUGGCCAUUCUGACUGGUGUGAGGUGGUACCUCAUUGUGGUUUUGAUUUUCAUUUCUUUAAUAAUUGCAGUGUUGAGCAAUUUUUCAUGUAGCCAUCUGUCUUCCUUCUUUGGAAAAGUCUAUUUGUGUCCUCUGCCCAUUUUUUGAUUGGGUUUUGGUUUUUUGUUGUUGACUUGUAUGGGUUAUAUAUUUUGGAUAUUACCCUCUUGUUGACCACAUUGUUUGCAAAUAUUUUCUCCCAUUUUGUAGAUUGUCUUUUUGUUUUGUCAGUACUUUCCUUUGCUGUCCAGAGGCUUUUCAGUUUAAUUAGGUCCCAUCUGUUUGUUUUUGCUUUUAUUUAUUUUGCCUUGGGAGACUGAUCUAAGAAAAUAUUACUGUAAUUUAUGUCAAAGAGUGUUUCACCUGUGUUCUUUUCUAAGAGUUUUAUGGUGUCAUGUCUUACAUUUAGGUCUUUGGAUUUAUUUUUGUAUGAAGGAAUGUUCUAAUUUCCCUGCUUUGCAUGUAGCUGUCCAGUUUCCCCAGCACUGUUUAUUGAAGAGACUGUCUUUUCUCCAUUGUAUAUUCUUGCCUCUUUUAUCAUAGAUUAAUUGAUUCUAGGUGUGUGGGUUUAUUUCUGGGCUCUCUAUCCUGUUCCAUUGAUCUAUGUGCCUGUCUUUGUGCCAGUACCGUACUGUUUUGAUUACUGUAGCUUUGUAGUAUAGUCUAAGGUGUGGGUGGGUUAUACUUUCACCUUUGUUCUUUUUUCUAAAGAUUACUUUGGCAGUUUGGGAUCUGUGUGGUGCCAUAUGAGCUUUCGGAUUAUUUAUUCUAUUUCUGUGACAAAUGCCCAGGGAUUUCUGAUAGGGAUUGCACUAAGCCUGUAGAUGACUUUGGGUAGUAUGGCCAUGUGAGCACAGGAUAGCUUUCCAUUUCUUUGCAUUGUGUUUCGUUUCCUUAUCAAUGUUUUAUAGUUUUCAGUGUAUGGAUCUUUCACCUCCUCACUUGAGUUUAUUCCCAGAUAUUUUUUAAAUGUGAUUUUAAAUGCGAUUUUUCUGUGUAUUUCUGUGUACUAACCUUGUACCCUGAUGGGAGUUCCUGGCGUGGCACAGCGGUUAAUGAACCUAACUGGCAUUCAUGAGGAUGUGGGUUCAAUCCCUGGCCUCGCUCAGUGGGUUAAGGAUCCAGUGUUGCUGUGGCUGUGGUGUAGGCUGGCAGCUACAGCUCCAGUUUGACCCCUAGCCUGGGAACCUCCAUAUACCGAGGGUGGGGCCCUAAAAGAGACAAAAAGACAAAACCAAAAAAAACAAACAAAAAACAAACCUCAUACCCUGAGCCUUUGCUGGAUUCAUCUGUUAGUUCUAAUAGUUUUGGGUGGAGUUGUCUCAUAGAUUCCUCAUAGAUGUCAGGCUUGAUAGGGAAAUUUUUUUCUGAAAAAAAUUUUUUUUGAGGUUACAAAGACAGGAUUAAAAAAAAGAAAAUCAAUAAGACCCCGUUGUCUUUGCUGCUGAACGUCCAGGACCCUUUGGGCACAGGGUCCACUUCUUUAGGCCACUCUUUCUUCAGGGGAAGGUGGUGACCCUCCAGCCUCUCCUGAAGCGGGUCUGCGACGUUCGGCUCCAGGCCGAUACGGAGAUGAGGACGAAGCUUUUGGUUUUACGGUAUUUGUCGUUAAUGGGAAUCUCAUUCCCAAAAGGCACAGAAACCUCAUGAGAGCUCUGCAGUUCGUUCUUCUUCGAAAGUUCAGAAAACCGACACAGUUAAUUCUCCUGAAACCGCUGCGCACGUGAAGAGAGACAUUGUCCACCGACGGCCCUGAGUUCCACGUGCUCAGCUGCUAAAGGCGUCCCUGUGACCACCCGCAACGUCGAUUCCACCCUCGUGACGGCCUGACACGUGCACGUCUGCCAAGUGUUCCUUUGCUGGGGCCUGGAACCAGACCUGGAAGGACCUCCCACUCCCCCACCCCGGCGCCCCCGGGGGUGAGCAGGCUGGUCAGACCCGGAUCCCGCGGGACCCAAAGGGCCUCACCUGCCAAGACUGUCCUCUCAAGGACCGGGGCCUUCGAGGUCCCAGCACCAGGCUGAGCCCCCCCGCCCCGCUCCCGCUGCCUGGACCCUACCCGCUAGAACUGGGAUAUGGGCCACGGGGUGGCGGGGAGGGGACCCAGGCAGGUGCCAGUGCUGAGGAGUCCCCCUCCAGGGCACCUCCCCCGAGGGACCAGCAGCUGCGGCGGCGUCACCGAGCUUCCCUUACACACGUGCUCCCUGCACAGACACACACACCAUCCUCACCUUCAGGUGGUCAGUCGGCUGUCAGAGGACUUUGCAGGAGUACUUCGCGUGCCGGGCGCGGUGUCCUUCGUCCAAAGGGGGGCCGGGCUCCGUGCCUCCCCCGCCCUCCUCCAGGUUCUGCCCUGCUCCCGGGCUUCUCCUCUGAGAUCGAAAGGGCAAAUGCGUGUGUUUCUUUGAGCGCCGCAGCCCCAGUUUCCCCACCUGCUGAGGGCACGGCAGCCGCGUUUGUUUCUAGUCAGACGGGCAUGGGUUCUUCUAACGGAGGCUGAGCUCUCCUGAGUCCCCUCGUAUCGUUGCCUGACUGGGGGCGGGGACCCCAAGAAUCAGCAGUUUCCUGACCCAGCAGAACCCUCUGUGGCCUGAAGGACAGCAAGCUCGGCCGCCUUGAGAGGGUCGCCGCGACCGCGUAGGGCAGCCCGAGGCGGUGCGAGCGCCCUGUCUGCUUCCCACGUAGAGCUCUGGGAUUGAAACACGAGCAAGUGGCAACCUCCUUUCAAGAGGGGAGAUGCUGGGGUUAGCCCGGGACUGUGCCGUCUCCAGCUCAGCGGUCUCCCUCUCCGGAUGACAGGAUCGAGGCGGGUGCAGGCGGUCACUCGCAAAUGACCCUCCGGUCUUCCAGGGCAUGUCGGAAUUCACAGCUGACACCGAAUGUGGACGCAGAUAAGCAGACGUGCAGGAAGAAACCGCGCAGAUGGGGCGUGGGUUUCCUGCUCUCCUGGCAGACUCGGGUCUUGCAUUUCCCCGCUUCCCCCAGAGUGGCUCCGCAGCCGGCAGAGGAGGCAGAGGAAAGGGAAGGAAGGGACACAGUGAUGGGCCUUCUUUCCACCAGGAUUCUCUUUAUCCAGCUUUAUAAAGUUGUGCUUUUCUCCACGGCAGCAUGGAACACGCCGCAGUGUGCUGGGCGCUUCGGAAGCGUGGAGCAGCUGAGCUCAAUGCCACCCCAUCCGUGCCUGGGCCUCGGCCACCAGAUCCAGAAGCGUCCCCCCUGGUGCUGACGCCCGAGCAGAGCCACGCUGUGUAGACAGCUUCUGGCACUGCCAGGCAGGGGCGCCAAGGAACCCAGAGGGCGUGCGUCCUGUUCCCACAGAGGGACUGCAUGGGGUACUGGCUCCACGCCACCGAGGAAGACACCCGAGAUGCCAGGGAGCGAGCUCGCUCCCAGAAGGGACUUUGUUUUAGGGCUGCGGCUUUGGGGGCAGGAGGACGGAAACAGGUGUUUGGAGUAGAUACCCCGCUUGCUUCUGUGACUUAUUGUUAUGUUUUGCCUUUUUUUUUUUUUUUUUUUUUUAAAUUCAGAAUCUUGAAGGGAAUAGGUGAAAAAUUCUCUCCAAGAUUUUUAUUUGAAAGGAGAAUUGAACUGAGAGUGCCCAAGGGCGUCUGUUAAGUAACAGGCCCAUGACUCCUCUUGGCGGUGUCCUGUGCGUGUUGGCGGAGUCCUGGAACGAGGCGGCUUCUUGGGUCUCUCUUCCUUCCGAGUAUGAAUGUCCUUCCCAUCUCUCCACUCGUAGCCACGUGUGUGUGUGCGUGUGUGCACACGUGUAGCUUGCAAGAACUCCAAAGAGAUGUAUUUCUGCUUAAGUACUAAUGCUGAUGUUUGCUGUCUGCUUUUCAAAUCAGUUUAGAAUCACAGCAUUCUCUCCAA
ensembl:lncRNA